UCGCUCAGGACUCCUGUGCACUACUUCCAACCCAGGACAGUCUGAUGUGUCAAAAAAGCAAGAGCUGCAACUUCAGUCGUGGAGCAAAUGGCAUAAAACAAUUUCUUCAUGUUGCCUUUCCCACUUCCAAUUCCUUCCUUCAUAGGCAAUUAUUCCCUAUUUUGGAUUUGUAUCUCUGUGUUUUUGUUUAUAAACAAACAUAUAAUGUAUAAAAUAUAUAGUUCAUGCAUAAACUGUGUAUAAGUGUAAUUUAUAAAACAUCUGGUAUGGUUUGCAUGCAUGUGUUUUAAAAAUUUACAUAAAUGGUAAUGUGCUUUAGAUCUAAUUCUGUUUCCUUUUUUUACUCAACAUGAUGUUUUUGAGGUCUGUUUGUACUGCUGUGUGUGCAUCUGGUGUGUGAGUCUCUCACAGCUGCAUGGGAUUCCACAGCGCAUAUUGAUCUUAUGAUGUAUGUUGAUUCAUCUGGAAGCAGACGCCUAGAUCGCCCCACUUCCCUGACUCCACAACAAACUGAGAUGAACAUUGUUGGACCAUCUGGCUUCCACCACUUCAUAUGGUUUUAGGAAAGUAUCCAGUUUUAUUUUUUCCCAUGCUGGGAGUCAGUUUUCCUGAGAUCAUCCCAGGAGGUCCUGGCCUCCGUGAGUACAGUUCUACUUUAUCAUAGCCUCGAACACCCUCUAUCAUGCUUGUGGCCAUUAUUGCUGUCAAGCUGUUAGCAUGCAGAUUCAUUAGUGGGGCUUUAGGGAAGGUGGUAAUAUCUAGUAGGUUAUGUUCCCCUUCUAUGCUCUUCUUUUUCCAUGUAGAUUUAGCUGUAUAUAGAUCUUAUUCUUU